rnacentral:lncRNA from 1 species
AGAGAGAGAGAGAGAGAGAAACAGACAGACAGACCAACUGACAGACAGACAGACACAGACUAGAGAUUGAACCCAGUGCUUUGUAUAUGCUAGGUGCGUGCUAUAUCACUGAAUUACAUCUCCUGUACUUUAUGUAAAGUUUUAAAUUUGAGUCAGGGUGCCUAAAACUUCAUUUCUCUGCCUUUAGCUCCUGUGUGUUGGAUUAUGAGAAGGUACUGCCAUCUGGGUAACACGGUCCUUCUUAACUGGAUGUGCAUUGUGUUUCAGUUCUCUUUAAUUUUGAAAUUGAAGAAGUGUUUAGCAGCGUGCAGUUGUUUCAACUUGUAUUGCUUCCCAUGCCCUGACACCCCGAAAGGCAGGAGUAGAUCCACAGACUGAAGACUGUGCAUUUCUUAUAUCAGGGCUCGUAUAUUUGUGGAAGGCAAAGUGGACUAUGGUGAAUACAUGGAUAAAAACAAUGUGAGGCGGCAAGCAACAACAAUCAUAGCUGGUAAGAAGCCCGUGAUAACAUUAUAUUUCUGAGUGACCAGGCAAGAGAAAAGCCAUAGAACGGAUGAUUCUUCGUUGAUCAUUGUUUGGUACAGUCUCCUUUGCAAAUCAUGUACAGUCUAUAGUUUAAAGACAAAAAUUAAAAUUUUUAUAU